rnacentral:rRNA from 1 species
UAGGGAAUCUUCCGCAAUGGACGCAAGUCUGACGGAGCAACGCCGCGUGAGUGAAGAAGGAUUUCGGUUCGUAAAACUCUGUUGUUAGAGAAGAACAGCGCAUAGAGUAACUGUUAUGCGUGUGACGGUAUCUAACCAGAAAGCCACGGCUAACUACGUGCCAGCAGCCGCGGUAAUACGUAGGUGGCAAGCGUUGUCCGGAUUUAUUGGGCGUAAAGCGAGCGCAGGCGGUCAAUUAAGUCUGAUGUGAAAGCCCCCGGCUCAACCGGGGAGGGUCAUUGGAACCUGGUUGACUUGAGUGGAGAAGAGGAGAGUGGAAUUCCAUGUGUAGCGGUGAAAUGCGUAGAUAUAUGGAGGAACACCAGUGGCGAAGGCGACUCUCUGGUCUGUAACUGACGCUGAGGCUCGAAAGCGUGGGUAGCAAACAGG